rnacentral:lncRNA from 1 species
CGCAGCAGAAGGAAUGGCCACACUGUUGCCGAGGGUCACUGUUGCUUAGCAACCUGUGUUUAAUAGGAUGUUUCAACUGAAUUCCUAAUUAACGGCCAUUUCAACUUACACUAACAGUUCCUGUCACUGGGGUCCCCACUCUGCUUCUUUCCCUCCCCCAAAGUCUGGUACCUCUGACUCUUGUUGAAAUGCUACGAAACUGGAAAGCUCAGGAGGCGGUAAACUCCAUGAGGACAGAGCUGUUCACCUGUUUCCUCCAAAUCCAGCACGGUGCCUGGCACAGUAGCCAUUAAAUAAAUAUUUGAUGAAUAAAAUGCUUUGCCAUGAGCAGAUUCUCUGCCUGUGAGAUUCAUGGUUCCAUUUUUAUAAAAAUUAAUAAAAGAUCAAGCAACUCAUGAAGGUUAUUCUUCCCAGCUC